CGAGUGAUAAACGACGUGGUUAUCCUACGCGGACGAGUCUCAAUUAUGGCGCCACGUGUUCAGUUUACGCAAGAAAAAUUUUAGAAUGCAACGGGUAUAUUAAUGACGUGGCGUAACAAACCAAUCAAAAAAAAUUUUUUAGAAAUAUAUGUCCCAUUAUGAUUAUAAAAAAAUAUUUUUAUUGUAUUUUUAUUUGAGAAGAAGAAAGGUGAUUGGCUUGUUAUUGAUGACGUGGUGCAAGUGUGAUAGUGUAGAAUUUCUCGUUUACGCAACCGCGGGAUGUCACAAUCAGCUGUUGACGGAUCUGUUCGCUCCGCGUGUUCGUGAAACCAGCCAAAAAAAACAAUUAAUUAAUAAUUAGCAAAUAAAGAAUAAAAUAAAAUCUUGUUUUAGGGACCGUUUGGUUAUAUAUUGUUGCAACUAACUACAUGCAAAUGUAAAUUUAAUAUUUUGUUUGAUAUAUUUAAUUCAAAUUGCUGUAGUAGAAACUGCAGGAGGAGGCCCAACUGUAGCUCAUCAAACUACACCCAAAUUAGCCGUAGUUUCAACUAUAGCAGUUGGAGAGUAACUUUAAAUAAAAAAUAUGCUUUCCUGCUCAAUUAUUUUUUAAACAAAUUUUUUUUUUGACAUUUGAGAUAAUCUCACCAUCAUAUAUAUAAAAUAAUAAAAUUUUAAAUAUUAUUUCUUAUUUGCAUGCAACCAAACAAAUUAUUUAUACUUGCAGCGCUUUUUAUUAUAUCCAACCAAACAGGAUGCAUGUAGUUAUAACAACUGUAUUUUUAACUGUAUGUUUUUCUAAUUAUAUUAUAUUUAUAAUUAUAUCUAACUAAACAGUUCCUUGUCUCU
rnacentral:lncRNA from 1 species